UCAACCUCAUCUCUAUCCAUCUCUCUCUUCCCUCUCACUAAGCUGCCGUCCAAAACUUCUCCAUUUUCGUGAGCUCCAUCCUCGGUCUUCUUCAUCACUUACCGACUCCCCCUCCGCAACUCCAUCUCUCUCUCUCGAUUUCUUUCCCUUCACCCCCUCGAACUCUCACGCCAACAAGCUGUUCGGUCGACUUCAUCAACACAAGAAGCCACUUCUUUUGACCUCCCAAUCCUCACGAUUUUAGCUCAACAUCCACCAAGUUCUCCUUUGCUGCCCUCUCUCGGUCAAACUCCUCACCGCUGAAGACUCGAGCAAGCAUCCGUGUGGUCUUCUCCAGCUCGUGGCCACCGGAACUACAGCUGCCACGUCCGAAGAUCUCUCCCGGUUUCUACCAGCACGCCUCCACCAUCUUUUGUUCCCCAGUCAAACCAGUCGGUUUGUUGAUCGCUGCAUCAUCUCCAGCAGCUUCACGUGCCACGCCGUUGCCUCGUCCAACACAUGCCCACGAAGCCCAACGCCAGCUCACUUCACGGGUCAACGAAGCAGCUCCAUCCUCUCGGUUGUUGACCGCCAAACGUCCACGAAGCUACUCCAUCGUCCGCACGUCUCUGCCAGCGAAGCCACCGAGCGCCAUCUUCUCUCCAUCCGCGGCCAGCUGUCCACGAUUCUGUUUCCCCAGGUCAACCGUCGAAGAUCCCAGCAAGCCUUCGUCGACGCCAGCUCCUUUGAUUCAGCUUCGGUUUGCAGAGUGCAACCCAGCGAAGACAGGCCCAGUUCGGCAGGGCCCAUCUUCAGCAACAAUUCGGGCCUUUUGGUACAGUCCACUGAUCAGCCCAGCUUCCAUUUUGUAACUUGCUUGGCCCAAAUCUCCAGCAGCCCAUCAACUGAAAGUUUAAGGCCCAAUCUUCCAGCAAAGCAAUUGAAGCCCAGUCCACAUCUUGAAGCCCAAUUCAGUUUAGUUUCAACGAGGCCCAGCAAGUUCAGCCCAGUCUAAAGGAAGCCCAGUCUAGCGCAAGAACAAAUCUCAUUUGGGCUGAGAUUUGUUGAGCCAAGGUCGAGGCCCGGUCCAAGUCCGCCGGUGUUGUCGAAAGUCCGAUUUCGGCCGCCGUCGCGUCGCCAUUGCGGUGAUUCGGUCCCUGUUUUUAAUCAAGUGAGUUUUACUCACUAAUGCUUUAUUAGUUUGCUAAUUAUGUCUUAGGGUUGGUUAGAUUUAAUUACAUGCACUUAGGUGGUUAGAUUAGGUUAGAACAAUUAAUUUAGUGACUUAAUGAUGCAUGUUAGGUGGUUAGACCUAGCUAUUAGCAAGUACAAAUGUUUGGUUAUUUAUUGAAUGCAUCUCGGGAUUUUUCCCGACCCGUUUCGGGCUCUAAUAAGGCAAUAUGGGCCUAAAUUGGAUUUUUAAUAUUUAUUUAUUUAUUUUCGAAAUUAAUUAAUUAUUUAUUUAUUUUUCCGGAAAUUCAACCGGGAUGGCCGGUGACCGGAAUUUCGUGCUGAUUGUCAUGGUGUAGUCCGUUUAUUUAUUUGAGCUCUACAUUGUGUGGAAUUGAAUUUAUUGUGGAAUUUUAGGAAUUGUCCUAAAUUGUUUGUUAUUGAAUAUUUGAUUGGUAAUGGCCAAGCAUGGGUAUAUAGCGCCAGUACGUUGAUGGGCUAUAUAGUAGGGAAAAUGGUGAGAGCUAACUGAGAACAUUAUUGGUUGAGACCAAUCAGGUACGAUAUUAUUGGACAUACGUGGUUCGGUGAUUGGAAGUAUCACUGGCAAAAACGGCGCCUUAAAGAACGCACGUAAAUGACUUAUAGACAAACGUGGUUCGGUGAUUAUGGAAAUAUCACUGGUGAAAACGACGCCUUAAAGAACUCACGAUGUUGUCUAUAGCCGAUGUCACCUUGGCGAAAACGGCGCCCUUGAAAGGACACGUGGUUCAGUGAUCGAGGAUAUCACUGGUGAAAACGGCGCCUUAAAGAACGCACGGUGUCGGUGAUCGGUAUGUCAUUGGCGAAAACGACGCCCAAGAAACACAUGUGAUUUGGUGAAUGAGUACACCACUGAGAGAUCAUGGUAUGAGUGGGAAUGACCUAGAGAUGGUCUGACUGACAUGUAAUCGACUAAGUCGAUUGAUCAAUGCUUGAUCGGAUGUCGUGAAUUGUUUGAAUAUCUGUGUUUAACCUUGAAUUGCAGGUUGGAACCAAGGCAAAGGUAAGUCCUCUGACUCGUGUUAUGCUUAGGCAACCGUAUGGUGUAUUAGUUUACUAAUCGAGUCGUAGGGGGUAGGACUCGCUGAGACGUGGUCUCAUUGGUUAUUGAAUAACAAUUUCAGGACCCUGAGGAAAAGCUGAGGAGGAAGAACCUGAAGGGGAGAAAGUAUUUUGAAGUAGAAGAUGAUCCAGAGAGGGAUCUUGAGUACAACCCAGAUGUGGAUUGAGAUCCCAUCCCUUUUGUGCACCCUGUCUUAGUGUAGAUAGGUGUGAGACAAGUAUGUUGUGAAUAAUAUUGUAAAUAUACUAUGAGUUGUGCUGUUAAUGAAAGUGUGGUUAUGAAUUUCAAUAUGAAAAAUAUGACCUACUUUUCUAUCCCAUUGUUUUAUUGUCUGGGGAUUUAUAACUGCUUCCGCAUGUGCUUAAUAAAAAGAAAGGGUCGGCGAUACAUAGUCCUGGGAUAUCGCAUUCUAAAAUCGACCAAGUAGAAGGAUGUACGCGCGUCCGAGGAUCG
rnacentral:lncRNA from 1 species